GUCUAAAAUGCCUAGACACCCACUCAAGCUUCUGGCCUGAAUCUGCCUCUAUAUUCCAGGAAUGGGAAUAAGAACCAAGGUAGCCAGGAUUUAAGUUUAGAAAACUCUCAAACCUCAGGUCAGGGGGGGGCUCCCCCCUAGGACUCCCAUCCUAUUUUUGCCAUUGUGCUCAUUAAUUAAUUAUUAAUCAACAUCCCUGAUGUGACAGUCUUCCCUGAACAUGGAGGUGGUGGGCAAAUGAUGACCACUGAGAUGAUAUUCCAUUUCUGGCCCCUGGGGGGAAUUUUGUUGUUGUUGUUGUCAUUUAUUUCUUUUCAGAGGAUGGGGUGCGUAUGCGCUUUCGGGAGCGCUGUCGUUUACCAGAGGGAAGGUCCACAAGACUUCCGGCCCCAAGCCUUUGGUGGGAAACUAGAUCUCAAAGCAGAAAAUGAAAAGUCGAUCUGGGCCUCUCCAGCUGGCUGCAAGGUCUAAGGCUUCUCUCCGGCUGUUCCUGCAGGAAAUACAGCCCUCUCUAACCCUGCUGACAGAUUUUACGGCCAGAUUAGAGAACAGCAGAAAACUUGGGUGUUAAAAGGGGCCAAGGGAACCCUCCUUCCCAGAGACGCCCCCUUCCCCGCCCCCCUGUUGUGCUGUGAAUCUUAGAGCCCUGAUAUUUCCCCCAGGACCCUGGCUGCUUAGCUAGGGCCUGACAUCUCUCAGAGAGAAGGGUAGGGGGACACGAGCCAAGGCACCCCUUAUUCUUCUUCAUGUUUGCAAUUCCAGUUUCAAGCCAAAAGCUCUGUUUUUCAAACUCUAAAUUUCAGAGCUUAAUUCUCUGACUUGGCCUGCCUCUCUCCGCUAGGUAAAUAAUCAAUCCUCUUAACCCCCAGAGCCAAACAUGGUGCUUCAUCUACUUACAUUAUUCAGAAAAUGUUAUUCAGGGUAGAGGAGGAGAGAGAGAAAGACAGAAGGAAAGAGAAACCCUUGAGCGUUAUUUGAUCCCAAUCAAACUUUGCACGCUCUUAUGCCUUUAAAUUAUAGCCUGAACCAAUGCUAAAUUGCUUGCUGCUUGGAUGAGCCCAGUCCAGUUAAAAUCCUACUUGGCGGCGGUGGUGGUAGUGAGGAGGGUGUAGAAUUCAGGUUGCUUUUUUAUUGUUAUUUAUUGUUGCAUAAGGACUGUAAUUACUAACCUUGGACUGCCAGGAUGCAACAUAAAAAUGAAAAUCAGCCCUCGCUUUAAGGCUGAGGCCCUGGAACGAUUCUCUCACCGACACCCCCCCCCCCCGUCACUACCACCAAAUAUAUGCUCCUAAUUAAGCAAUGCGGGUGCAUCGCUUACAAUUAGAAUUAUGCAACUCUUCAGCAAGCAGCCAUCGCUUCUUUCAACGAAUUAGCUCCAUAUUUCAGCCGCCCUGUCUCCUCGCUCUUAUCGGCUCCAGCGACGCGGCAGUGACAUUUCAUCUUUGACAGACCCUCUCUAUCCUCGCUCCAAUGUGAUAAAACUUUUAUGGAACCACGACUAAGAAAUGAAGUUUUCCCAAGGAUCGUGGAAACAGAGCGACACAUUAGCCUGGGGACCAUUUUAUUUACGCUUGAAUCCAGCAGCUUCUCCCAACCCUCCUCCUUUCCCUGGCGGGGGAAAUCAAACACACCUCCUCUCUCUCCGCCCCGCGUUUUAUUUAGUGAUUUAAUUUCACUUUACUUUUAAGGUUUGACCCGAGAAGUCUAGGCCUUAGGUUUUUUGUUUUGUUUUGUUUUGUUUUUUUAGAUUAAUCAUUUUCCUUUGUUUUCAUUUUAGACCCAAUGGUGGUUGGGCUUCAGGUCACGUGACAGCUUCUUUGUAGCUCCGGAAGAGAACUGUGAAGUUUAGGUUUUCUUGGAAGAAGCAGUGACCGGCCACAUUUUGUUGUUGUUGACGGGAUGGGGAGUAGGGGGUGGACUAAGGAGUUGUAGCCAAAACAGCAAAAAGCAAAAGGUCAAUGAAUGAGAAAAACUGAGAGGCAAAGCCUAGAGACCUAGAGAGAGACCCCCUUCCCCCUAACUUGUUACUUAAAUCUUAGCCAAAGAAGUUGCCAGAAUGUCCCAAGCCUGUGUGAGAAAAGCCAAAUAAACCUGAGACACAGCAGGGGGGAGGUAGGGGC
rnacentral:lncRNA from 1 species